ACUCCUACGGGAGGCAGCAGUAGGGAAUCUUCCACAAUGGGCGCAAGCCUGAUGGAGCAACACCGCGUGAGUGAAGAAGGGUUUCGGCUCGUAAAGCUCUGUUGUUAAAGAAGAACACGUAUGAGAGUAACUGUUCAUACGUUGACGGUAUUUAACCAGAAAGUCACGGCUAACUACGUGCCAGCAGCCGCGGUAAUACGUAGGUGGCAAGCGUUAUCCGGAUUUAUUGGGCGUAAAGAGAGUGCAGGCGGUUUUCUAAGUCUGAUGUGAAAGCCUUCGGCUUAACCGGAGAAGUGCAUCGGAAACUGGAUAACUUGAGUGCAGAAGAGGGUAGUGGAACUCCAUGUGUAGCGGUGGAAUGCGUAGAUAUAUGGAAGAACACCAGUGGCGAAGGCGGCUACCUGGUCUGCAACUGACGCUGAGACUCGAAAGCAUGGGGUAGCGAACAGGAUUAGAUACCCUGGUAGCUCGAUG
rnacentral:rRNA from 1 species